UACGUAGGGGCCGAGCGUUGUCCGGAGUUAUUGGGCGUAAAGCGCGCGCAGGCGGCCUCGCGCGCCCGACGUGAAAGCCCCCGGCUUAACCGGGGAGGGUCGUUGGGGACGGCGGGGCUUGAGGGCGGGAGAGGGCGGUGGAAUUCCCGGUGUAGCGGUGAAAUGCGUAGAGAUCGGGAGGAACACCUGUGGCGAAGGCGGCCGUCUGGGCCGACCCUGACGCUGAGGCGCCGAAGGCGUGGGGAGCGAACGGG
rnacentral:rRNA from 1 species